rnacentral:rRNA from 1 species
UACGUAGGGGGCAAGCGUUGUCCGGAUUUAUUGGGCGUAAAGCGCGUGUAGGCGGCCAUGCAGGUCCGUUGUGAAAACUCGAGGCUCAACCUCGAGACGCCGAUGGAAACCGCAUGGCUAGAGUCCGGAAGAGGAGAGUGGAAUUCCUGGUGUAGCGGUGAAAUGCGCAGAUAUCAGGAAGAACACCCGUGGCGAAGGCGGCUCUCUAGUACGGUACUGACGCUGAGACGCGAAAGCGUGGGGAGCGAACAGG